rnacentral:lncRNA from 1 species
GGGCAGAUUUUAAUAAGAGAGAAACGAGAAGAAAGUGCCUCUUGCUGCCUCUCUUCCUUCCUGCUUGGCUCACUGGGUGAGGGUGAGGGUGUGUUGUCUGGAGCCACAGCAGCCACUUUAUGACUAUGAGGGAAAACAGGGCUGACCCGCUUCACAGAGGGGUCUUUGUGCAGCUCUCGAGGCAGCAUCUCACAUGGGAGGAGGGGCGGAUCAAGCAUCUGCCAUGCUUACAGCUUUUAGUUUAUGUUGUUGGAGGAAGGAUGCUCUACGUUGCAGUCAACUUGUCAACAAAAUGUCAGGUUCUGUCGCUGUCUAAGUUGACACCUGUGAAUUUGCUUUUUAAUUUCAGGAGCUUUUGGGGUACAUGUGGAUUUUGAUUACAUGGAUGAAUUGUACAGUGGUGAAG